AGCAAGCACUGUGGCUCAUUCUUU
rnacentral:piRNA from 1 species